GUAGGUGAACCUGCGGAAGGAUCAUCAUUAAAUCCAAUUUAUUCACCCUUGUGAACUGUGUGCUAGGAUUGUGCGAUUUUCGCGCGAUUCCUCAUGACGCUUCAUAGUCGUAGUUGUGUGAGGGGAUGUACUACGAAUGUGCUUGAGUUUUGAGCAACGAAUGGUGGUGGUGGUUCCAUGAGAGUUCUCAUUGUAUUGCCGCCGCCAUUUAGCUUGAAACUUUAAAUGCGUUUAUAGUCUCUGCUCAUUU
rnacentral:misc_RNA from 1 species